CGGCGUGCUUAAUACAUGCAAGUCAACGACUUUUAGAGUAGCAAUAUUUUAAAGGAAGUGGCGCACGGGUGAGUAACACGUAGGUAAUCUGCCUUCAGGACUGACACAACUCGUCGAAAGACGGGCUAAUAUCAGAUAAUGCAGCGGCUCCGCAUGGAGACAGUUGUUAAAGUACAAGCGCCUGAAGAUGAGCCUGCGGUCCAUUAGCUAGUUGGUAGAGUAACAGCCUACCAAGGCAACGAUGGAUAGCUGGUCUGAGAGGAUGAUCAGCCACACUGGAACUGAGACACGGUCCAGACUCCUACGGGAGGCAGCAGUAAGGAAUAUUGCUCAAUGGCCGAAAGGCUGAAGCAGCGACGCCGCGUGAAGGAUGAAUGGCCUUUGGCCUGUAAACUUCUGUAAAAAGGGAAAAACAGUCAGGUACAUCCUGAUUUGAUUGUACCUUUGAAGUAAGCCCCGGCUAACUACGUG
rnacentral:rRNA from 1 species